CGUUUAUGCGGAAUGUUUAUUUGCUCACUGUCAAAAUCCAAAGUUUUAUUUAGGACGGUUAGCUAUUCUAAAACGCCAGUAGCUCCUUAAUUGGGCGUCUGUCGUGAGAGAAUGUUUGCCCCAUUGCUAAAUAAGUAUUUUGCAUAAACAUCUGCGUAGCCGAACAUUAAUUUAGAUCGGAUUAACUCUCUUUUAGUGGGGAACAAUAAGCUAUUUAUACCCCAGCACGCUGCUUUACCUGUAUAAUUUAUAAUUUGUUAAAAGUAAAAGUUAACAUGAAUUUGCUUAAUUUCUUCUGGUGAUGACAACAGUUGUUUUUCAUCACAAGAAGAAAAAUUAAACUAAACUCAAUAUAUUACUAUCAUUACCUGCGAAAAGAAUGAUGUUAUUUUACUAUGAACUAUGAAUAUAUGUACUGGUAUGAUGGCAUUUGAUAUUUUCAUGAAUAAGGAGACAGCUAUUAUAAUUAUAUAUUUAUUAUAAUAUUUUUGUUAUGAUAUUAAAUUUUUUAAAAACAUUAUGCGGCAUUGGAUUUUUACCUUUGAUAAAUGGUUGGUGCUCCAUAUUCAAACUUUAUGAAGUGAAAGAAGUACCGAAAAACCAUUUGGAAAAGUAGUAAUGUACAAUUUGAAAAAGUGUUCACUUUAUAAAUUAUGAAGGUUUAUUUACUUUAAAUUUGAUUCAAAACUUGUAGGUAUUUUUGUUAAUUUCUUUGCAAUGUAAUUUAAUCAGAAAAUCAAGUUAAAACAAAAUCUCAGGUUGUUUUGUAGAUCUCUGUUUGUUUUUUUUCAUUUUUUUUUAGACUAUAGUUUUGGAGUUUAGAUUUUUAAUGUAAAAAUGUAAAUACCAGUUUUGAGUAAUGAUAUUUUUUUAAAGAUCUAUAUUAUGUGAUUAUAUAUGUGAUUUUGUGUGGCCUGAUGCUUAGUUUUAUUGCAAAAUCUUUUAAUGUUCUAGUUAUGUAAGUUUUUUGUGUGUGUGUGUGUUUUUGAACUAAAUUUCCAUGGUUUGUGUAUACCUUAAUUAUUUUUUUGAAGAUGUCCACCUUUUAAGAAA